rnacentral:rRNA from 1 species
UUAAGCGACUAAGCGUACACGGUGGAUGCCCUGGCAGUCAGAGGCGAUGAAGGACGUGCUAAUCUGCGAAAAGCGUCGGUAAGGUGAUAUGAACCGUUAUAGCCGGCGAUGUCCGAAUGGGGAAACCCAGUGCAAUUCGUUGCACUAUCGUUAACUGAAUACAUAGGUUAACGAGGCGAACCGGGGGAACUGAAACAUCUAAGUACCCCGAGGAAAAGAAAUCAACCGAGAUUCCCCCAGUAGCGGCGAGCGAACGGGGAGCAGCCCAGAGUCUGAAUCAGCUUGUGUGUUAGUGGAACGGUCUGGAAAGUCCGACGGUACAGGGUGAUAGUCCCGUACACCAAAAUGCACAGGCUGUGAACUCGAAGAGUAGGGCGGGACACGUGGUAUCCUGUCUGAAUAUGGGGGGACCAUCCUCCAAGGCUAAAUACUCCUGACUGACCGAUAGUGAACCAGUACCGUGAGGGAAAGGCGAAAAGAACCCCGGCGAGGGGAGUGAAAAAGAACCUGAAACCGUGUACGUACAAGCAGUGGGAGCACCUUCGGGUGUGACUGCGUACCUUUUGUAUAAUGGGUCAGCGACUUAUAUUCUGUAGCAAGGUUAACCGUAUAGGGGAGCCGCAGGGAAACCGAGUCUUAACUGGGCGUUAAGUUGCAGGGUAUAGACCCGAAACCCGGUGAUCUAGCCAUGGGCAGGUUGAAGGUUGGGUAACACUAACUGGAGGACCGAACCGACUAAUGUUGAAAAAUUAGCGGAUGACUUGUGGCUGGGGGUGAAAGGCCAAUCAAACCGGGAGAUAGCUGGUUCUCCCCGAAAGCUAUUUAGGUAGCGCCUCGUGAACUCAUCUUCGGGGGUAGAGCACUGUUUCGGCUAGGGGGUCAUCCCGACUUACCAACCCGAUGCAAACUACGAAUACCGAAGAAUGUUAUCACGGGAGACACACGGCGGGUGCUAACGUCCGUCGUGAAGAGGGAAACAACCCAGACCGCCAGCUAAGGUCCCAAAGUCAUGGUUAAGUGGGAAACGAUGUGGGAAGGCACAGACAGCCAGGAUGUUGGCUUAGAAGCAGCCAUCAUUUAAAGAAAGCGUAAUAGCUCACUGGUCGAGUCGGCCUGCGCGGAAGAUGUAACGGGGCUAAACCAUGCACCGAAGCUGCGGCAGCGACACUAUGUGUUGUUGGGUAGGGGAGCGUUCUGUAAGCCUGCGAAGGUGACCUGUGAGGGUUGCUGGAGGUAUCAGAAGUGCGAAUGCUGACAUAAGUAACGAUAAAGCGGGUGAAAAGCCCGCUCGCCGGAAGACCAAGGGUUCCUGUCCAACGUUAAUCGGGGCAGGGUGAGUCGACCCCUAAGGCGAGGCCGAAAGGCGUAGUCGAUGGGAAACAGGUUAAUAUUCCUGUACUUGGUGUUACUGCGAAGGGGGGACGGAGAAGGCUAUGUUAGCCGGGCGACGGUUGUCCCGGUUUAAGCAUGUAGGCUGGUUAUCCAGGCAAAUCCGGAUAAUCAAGGCUGAGGUGUGAUGACGAGGCACUACGGUGCUGAAGUAACAAAUGCCCUGCUUCCAGGAAAAGCCUCUAAGCAUCAGGUAACAUUAAAUCGUACCCCAAACCGACACAGGUGGUCAGGUAGAGAAUACCAAGGCGCUUGAGAGAACUCGGGUGAAGGAACUAGGCAAAAUGGUGCCGUAACUUCGGGAGAAGGCACGCUGGUGUGUAGGUGAAGUCCCUGCGGAUGGAGCUGAGACCAGUCGAAGAUACCAGCUGGCUGCAACUGUUUAUUAAAAACACAGCACUGUGCAAACACGAAAGUGGACGUAUACGGUGUGACGCCUGCCCGGUGCCGGAAGGUUAAUUGAUGGGGUUAUCCGUAAGGAGAAGCUCUUGAUCGAAGCCCCGGUAAACGGCGGCCGUAACUAUAACGGUCCUAAGGUAGCGAAAUUCCUUGUCGGGUAAGUUCCGACCUGCACGAAUGGCGUAAUGAUGGCCAGGCUGUCUCCACCCGAGACUCAGUGAAAUUGAACUCGCUGUGAAGAUGCAGUGUACCCGCGGCAAGACGGAAAGACCCCGUGAACCUUUACUAUAGCUUGACACUGAACAUUGAGCCUUGAUGUGUAGGAUAGGUGGGAGGCUUUGAAGCGUGGACGCCAGUCUGCGUGGAGCCAACCUUGAAAUACCACCCUUUAAUGUUUGAUGUUCUAACGUUGGCCCCUGACCGGGGUUGCGGACAGUGUCUGGUGGGUAGUUUGACUGGGGCGGUCUCCUCCCAAAGCGUAACGGAGGAGCACGAAGGUUAGCUAAUCCUGGUCGGACAUCAGGAGGUUAGUGCAAUGGCAUAAGCUAGCUUGACUGCGAGCGUGACGGCGCGAGCAGGUGCGAAAGCAGGUCAUAGUGAUCCGGUGGUUCUGAAUGGAAGGGCCAUCGCUCAACGGAUAAAAGGUACUCCGGGGAUAACAGGCUGAUACCGCCCAAGAGUUCAUAUCGACGGCGGUGUUUGGCACCUCGAUGUCGGCUCAUCACAUCCUGGGGCUGAAGUAGGUCCCAAGGGUAUGGCUGUUCGCCAUUUAAAGUGGUACGCGAGCUGGGUUUAGAACGUCGUGAGACAGUUCGGUCCCUAUCUGCCGUGGGCGCUGGAGAAUUGAGGGGGGCUGCUCCUAGUACGAGAGGACCGGAGUGGACGCAUCACUGGUGUUCGGGUUGUCAUGCCAAUGGCACUGCCCGGUAGCUAAAUGCGGAAGAGAUAAGUGCUGAAAGCAUCUAAGCACGAAACUUGCCCCGAGAUGAGUUCUCCCUGAGACUUUAAGUCUCCUGAAGGAACGUUAAAGACGAUGACGUUGAUAGGCCGGGUGUGUAAGCGCAGCGAUGCGUUGAGCUAACCGGUACUAAUGAACCGUGAGGCUUAACCUU